rnacentral:rRNA from 1 species
UACGUAGGGGGCAAGCGUUGUCCGGAUUUAUUGGGCGUAAAGAGCGUGUAGGCGGCCAGACAGGUCCGUUGUGAAAACUCGAGGCUCAACCUCGAGACGCCGAUGGAAACCGUCUGGCUAGAGUCCGGAAGAGGAGAGUGGAAUUCCUGGUGAGCGGUGAAAUGCGCAGAGUAUCGGGAAGAACACCCGUGGCGAAGGCGGCUCUCUGGGACGGUACUGGACGCUGAGACGCGAAAGCGUGGGGAGCGAACAGG